UUUUUCUUUUUUUUUUUUUUUUUUUCUUGUAAACCAACAGGACAAAACAAAUGUUGAAGUCUCCAGGAUUCUUGAUGUCGUCAUGUUGUCCUGGGGGUUUGGUCAAGUGUGAAAAGAAAUUUCAUUGCCACUGCUUGAAGAAAAAAAAAAUAAACUACCAUAUUGCUAUGAUUCUCCAGCUGGCUAUCAGUUUACUACAUGAAACUGCAAAUUGACGUCUAAGUUGUGAUUUAUUUUUAUAAAUUAAGAGCAGACCCAUUAUGCCAGCCCUGAAACACUCUGGGUGUUUGCACGGCCAAUUACUGUGGAAACUGCUGAAACAAAUAAAUGUUUGGAUAAGGAUCUGGAACAAAUGCCUCCAUUUUUUAAAGUAUUCUUGCAAAAUAUCACUAGACCAAGAAAUCCCAACUGCUUCAUCUGUUUGUUGCUACAUCUAUAUCCUUCUCUGGAAUUCUUUGCUGCAGAUCUACAAAGGAAUAAAUGAAAAACUGCUGUUCUCCCACUUAACCUAUAGCAAGCAGCCUUAAAAAACAACUCAUCUGUAACAUUCCAGCCAUAUUUAGCUGUUUUUAUCAGAGCUGUGUGGUAGGAAAUGAUCUGUGGGGGUUUUGAAAGACUGAAAUAUGAGGAUAUUCAAGUCCUGCUUUGAAUCCAAUAUAAUCCUGCUCAUGAACUUGUCCCAUUGAAAUCAGGUUCAUAAAAGCAUACCUGUACACACCCUUCCUAAAGUCAAUUUUAAAUGCCUCUGGUACUGUAAUCCUGCUUGAUGGGACAGAUCCUGCUUUUCCAGGGCAAAGCAAAACAUGGCAAGAGCCCAGUGUCUUGCCAAUCUGUGUGAUUCCCUUUCCAAGAAGUGGGCAUGGAACAAAAUGUAAGAAAAGAGAAGAAAAUGCACAGGUGGCACAAUAAUCAAACCAGUGCAUUUUAAUACUUAAAUAUUGAUGCAGAAAAACACAGAGACUUAAUUUUAGACAAAAGGAAAAGGAGACUGAGGUAUUAGACUUAAGUGUUUGCUCUUUCAGAAGUUUUUAACGUGAUAUUUGGUUUAUGUAGAUUCAAGUAAUGGAAGAGAGAUGCUAUUUUGUUUAUUUACACAUGACAUCAAAGUCCACAUACAAUAUGUUAUAUAUGUGAGUUACUGAUUUUCUUUUCACUGUUAAAGAUAUUUAUUAGUUCUGUCUAGGUUUGCUUUAAUGUUGUUACACACAUACACAAAUAUAUUUUAUCCUAUUUACAAAUGCACCUUUUGUGGUUUUAUUGUUGUCAUAACAGGCUUCCCAAGCAAUAAGGCAAUGAGGUUCCCAAUCAAUGUUCUAUGUUCAUGUUUCUUAUUUCUAUUUAUCACAUUAUCUACGUUCAUGUUUCUCAUUUACAGUUGCAAGGGAAAAUAGCUUCUUGGUUCUGUUCACCCAACAAAGCACUAAAAUUAGAUUUAUACACCUUCUUUUAAUGUCCCCACUGCCUCUGAUUAGGCUGAUUAUGGAGCAGCAUACUGGUAAUUAACAUGUUUCUGUUUUUAAAAGAUAUACUUCUCAUAAGAAGCAUAAAAACUUGUAUUUUUUUUUUCAAUGAAGGUAUUUUAACAUUUGAAAUAUGAAUAUUUAUGAACACAUGUCAUUUUAUUAAAAGUCCAAAACAGUAGAAACUCAUCAAUGUCCCUAUUAUAUAAAGUAUAGAAAUAGCGAUAUAAAUCAUAUAGGAUAUAAAUCAAAUAGGAUAUAAAUCAUCACAAAUUAAAACUGAAGAACAUCUAACAAGGCAAAUCAUGUUAAUUAUCAGUUAUUAUAGCCAAACACCUUUCCUCUUGUUUGUUUUACUGAUUUAUGCAGUAGCUUUUUUUUGCUGGAGGCUCGUGAUGUGAGAGAACAGCACAGUCCUGCAGUCCUUCCCACAGAAAUGGUUCUAAAGGACAUUCCAGAACUGGGGACUGUAAAAAAAAGAUAGAAUUCAAAUUUGAAAGUAUUACCAAAAAUAUUAGCAUGACAAAAUCCAAACAAAUAAAUGUGCCAUAUUUUGGCAGAGUGUACAAAACACUGAAGAGAACAGAUAGAGAUAUGAGAGAGCAUUUUUAGGUACUCUGGGUAGGAGACUCUUUAUGAGUUUUAAGCCUUCUGGAACCAAGCUAAAUUAAAUAUCAUCUGUAAAUAUAAUGCAUAAAUAUAAUGAAUAAACAUAAUUCACAAAUAUAAAUUAAAUCCUCCUCUUCAGUCAUUUUACAUCUGGAUGUCUUUAGGCACCACAAGGAUAUAGAUGUGCUUCAGCCCAUGUCACACAGUAGGUGAGCAGUAACACCAGGAACUAACCCCACAUUUGCUGGUAUGACCACACAGAAUUAAGCCCAGGGCAGAUGGCUGAAAUAUCAGGCACCAAAGAAUGAAAUAAGAAGAUCAAAUGUACUUUUCCAAGUGCUUUGCAAAAUAAAAUGGUGGGUUUUUUUCCCCCAGCACUUCAAUCCCUUAAGCACCCUUUUGUUUUCAAUGCCUGGUGAUAUUGGGUUUCAGUUUGUGGUUUUGCUAUUCUUCUUUUAAAUGAAGCAAAGAAACAUACACUAAAUAAAAUGAGGGGUGCAGUUGACCUCUAACAUUUCAUAAGAGGGCUUGUUACGUUUACCACAUUUAAAUGAAAAUCAACUUUGGCUGAAGCAGUGGAAUAAAAGGCCUGAAGGAGCAAGGCAGCUGGAUGAUAGAGUUUUCCUAACAGCAAACACUUCCCAAAGUAGGCUGAGAUUAGGGGACCAAAUAUUCAAGCAGACAUUUGGCAGACAUCUAAAUUCACUGGAAACUGUGUGUUUUACAGCCUGAAAUGUCCUGGGCUGGUUUUACUCUUCUCCUUCCCUGUUUUCUGAUGCACAUCUUGAUUUCUGUGACAACACAUCCACCUAUCUAUUACCAACCAACCUGGUUAAUUAUUCUACUUUUAAACACUCAGUGGGAAAAUUCAUGUAUAUACCAGCUUUGAAGAUUGAAGGUUUUUGUGCAAGAGCAUAACUGUACUGUGUAUCUGCAUUUAAAAUAUAAAUGUGCAGUAUAUGUGUGACCAGACCUCCUGGGCCACAAAGAAAAAUUCUGCUCAGGAUUAGAUUUUUGUCAUUUAGACUUUCUUAACUAACAAUCCCAUUGCUGCUUUUAUUUCACACUUGCUUUUCCACAUCCCAGGCUUUACUUGCCUGUGGCAAGAAGGGGUUUAGGCACCACCUAUUGAAUUUCAGAUUGAUUCACACUAUCAUUUUCAUCAGAAUUACACUUGGAAUGUUUUUUACCCAUUAGUUUUAAACAGUACUUUUGUGGGAAUUGUGCAGCUGGGGUAAUAUGUCUGUGUCCAGCUAUGAUUUCCACUUGGGGUGGGGAAGAUUGUUUAGAUGUUGAUAUUACUAAUAAUUUAAUUGUUUAUUGAGGAGGUCUCAGUGUCCUGUGUCCAUCCUUGCCCCUUUCUCCAGAGAACGAACUAGGGGAAAAAAAACUAUUGCAGCAUGUGGAGAAAAAUGACAUUGCAGUAGACAUUAAAAAUGUCAUAUGUCCUUCAGCUGUAAGUAUUAAAUUGUUAGAAAAUGCUGGAGAGUGAAAAGAAAAAGGAAAUUUGUCUUUUUCUUGAAGACACUGAACAAAAUCCACAGGUGAUAGAAUAACCAGAAUUAUGAAGGAGAGUAGAAAUGCUCUUCAAGUUUAGAUCUGUUUUUCUAUGCCCUAUUCCUAAAACUCUUCUAGGCAUUCUAGGAAUGGUCUGGUACAUUUGUGUGAAGGUAAGUGAGUAUCAUCUUCCACUUGCCUCAUCCCUGGAGGCCAGGUUGGACAGGGCUUGGAGUGCCCUGGGAUAGUGGAAAUUGUCCCUGCCCAUGGCAGGGGAUUGGAUCUAGGUUAUCUUUAGGCCCUUUCCAAAUUAGGCCAUUCUAUGAUUGUAUGAUUGCAUAUUUUAGUAAAUCUUUAUUAUUUCACAUGGCACACAAUCCUUAAACACGGUAACUAGGAAAAAGAAAAAAAAACCAAAAAAAACCAAACCAGUGCAUUUGUGUGGUUCUCUCCUGGCUGAGGGAAUUAUCUGAGUAACCAAUCCAGCAAGCCUAGGUCAGAAAGUCUUUCUGAAGGGAAAUAGGGUGUGGAUGUCCCAAACACAGAAGUGGCAUCAGAGACAGGAACUUUAUUGCUGAAUUGGAUAAGAUGUUAUUAACAGUGACUGGCACUUGGCAAGCUUUGCCUAUUUCAGAUGGAUCCCGGAGAUCCAUUUUCUGAACCCCUCCCAAAAAAAGGGAACAAACCAACUGGGUGGUGGCAGUCCCAUGUUGCAGGGUCACCUCCAAGCUCCAGGGGAUUUAGGGAUUUGUCAGUAAACCACCCAUCACAACUUCACACACUCACAGAAUGGCUGCUACAACUUCUACCCACAGUUUUUGCACCUUUCAGCCAGAUUCUUUUUGCCUUCACACAUACACACAAAACAGGGAAGGGAAGCUGUGGCAGAACCUUUAUCCUACACGAGCUUUUUCUGGGAUCCUAUCUCAGUGCCAGUGGUUGGAGAAGUGGUAAAGUUUGCCAUGUUUCUUUGUAACUCCCAGAUAUCAAAUCAAGUGAGGUUGCUGGUGAAUGACUUGCAGAAUCCUAGUCUGGCCUCUGACAGUAACACCCUGUGUGGCUUUCAGCAAGUCUUAACACCCUUUUUCUUCUACCUUCCCAUGGCUAAAAUGUUUAUUUGUCUGUCACAGCAGUUUUUUAGGGAGAAUUCAUAAUUCGGCACAUCACAGAAAAUAGUGCUUUUCUGCAGUGAGUUAAAUAAAUCAGGCCAUCAACAGUGAGAUAAGGUCUCCCCUGAGAAGAGACUUGAUGUCUAGGAUCAUUUUAGGGUUUAUAACACAUCAAAGUCUACAUAAAUAAAUCAAUUCCAUGCAGACAAGAGGAAAAAUGGUCCAAAAAAAAAGCACAGUUCAAGAAACUGUUGCUGAGCACAGGUUAAUCACUUAAGAGCAACAUCUCCACUUGGAAAAAAUAAGGUAAUAAUUUGGGCUAUCAUCUGGUCUGUAAAACCUAACUUACAGCUGGAAGUGAGAGGCUUUAAGUUAAGUGAAUGAAUGAACAUCCAUCACUACUCCUCCCAGAGCAGUCUGCUCCCUUAAAACCAGCACAGGCAAACUCCCCAAAAUGUGCCACUUGUUCCUCAAUUCCUGCAAUAACAGAAUUUGGGAGAUGAAACUGUCCAGGCUUAGCCUGAGAAUAGGGUGCAUAUUUACACACAAGAAAUGUUAAAUUAUGACACCUGUCCCACAGGUUUUCUGACCUAGAAAAGAGCCUCCCAGUCUAGUGGAAGGUGUCCCUGCAGAGAGGCUGAAAAGAGAUGAUCCCUAUGGCCCCUUCCAACUCAUAUGGUUCUAUGAUAUGAAUACCCAGGCUCAUAAUUUAUAUUUGUAUGGCCAGACACUGAGAUCUUUUUGUCUCUGUGCUGUCAUUACAGCUUCAGGAGCAACUGUAUAAUAUGAAGAAUAUUC
rnacentral:lncRNA from 1 species